GUGGCGGCUAGGUGGGGUGCUCGGCCUACCCUUGCAGGGGUUCCCCCUGCACCGCAAAUGGUCGAUAUGGCGGGCCGAAGCCGACGCGAGGCAUUCCAACAAGUGCUGAAACCCACAACCCAGCGAUGAAACCUCGUCCCAUGGGGUGCACGGAGGCGAUAGGCUCCUCGGAGGAGGAGCUGAAUCGCCCUUACCAAGCGAACCGGGUUAGGCCAGGAAUGGAGCGGCCCUAAGCUUGGACGUGCACGUUCAUGGGGUUGCGGGGUUGAGUAUGAUGUGGGAUUUCAGCACUUGAAUGGGAUGCCCAGCGCCGGCGCGCCGCCAC
rnacentral:SRP_RNA from 1 species